CGAGCUUCCCCUCCUCUCGGCUGGUCAUCCCUCCUCGCGCACGGAAGUGCGUCGGGGGAAGAAAAGCGCCUCCUUUCGGUAGGCAAACCGCCCGGCAGUUCACCAGAAAGAAAAACUUUCACCACCACCCUGGGAGGGCUGAAUAAUAUUCUGUUGUCCGGAUGUACCAAAGUUUAUUUAUCCAUCCACCUACUGAAGGACAUCUUGGAUGCUUCCAAGUUUUGGCAAUAAAAAUAAGCUUCUGUAAACAUCAAGGUGCAAAUUUUUACAUGGACAUAAGUUUUCAACUCAUUUGGAUGAAUACUAAGGACCAUAAUUUCUGGAUUGUAUGGAGUGAAGAAAGCUCUGGAGGGAACGUGGAACAGUGAAAGAAGAGAAAAGCUUUACCUUGAUAGAAUCAGGACCACCAACGGACCUUUUCUGUCUCUAGCUUGGAACCUGGGAUCAGAAAGGAACAUUCACCUUCUGCACUUCGUCUUUUCUCCUUCACAUGUUCUUGAGCUGCACAGAUAACCUGCCUUACCACUUCAAGAGAAGCCAGCUGAAUGGAAGGUGAUUCUCGGGUCAAAAUUACUCGAUGUAGUACAUUCAACAACUCGAUACCCAAGUCCUAUCACAGAAAACAGGAAGCUGGGAGGCAAAUUCUGAAGGCAAAGUUAGGAGAGCAAAAUCCUGAAGCGCAGCAAGCCAGAGCCUACUUAAUGUGCCAAGAUCUGCGUGGACUAAGUCAAGCAGCCCGUCUGAUGAAAUCGACCCGUUUCCGACACUCUCUUCUGAACAGGUAGUCUUCAAAGAUGUGAUGCAGUCUGCUGACCAGCUGGGGAACUGCUCUGGAUUCCCUAACUGCCAGCCAUCAGAAGCUGCCUUUGAAUCAUG